GAUGAACGCUGGCGGCGUGCUUAACACAUGCAAGUCGAACGAGAAGUGAAGACGGAAACCUUCGGGCGGAAGGCUUUAUUUCGAGUGGCGGACGGGUGAGUAACGCGUGGGUAACCUGCCUCAUACAGGGGGAUAACAGUUGGAAAUGACUGUUAAUACCGCAUAAGACCACAGCACCGCAUGGUGCGGGGGUAAAAACUCCGGUGGUAUGAGAUGGACCCGCGUUCGAUUAGCCAGUUGGCGGGGUAACGGCCCACCAAAGCGACGAUCGAUAGCCGAUCUGAGAGGAUGACCGGCCACAUUGGGACUGAGACACGGCCCAAACUCCUACGGGAGGCAGCAGUGGGGAAUAUUGCACAAUGGGGGAAACCCUGAUGCAGCGACGCCGCGUGAGUGAAGAAGUAUUUCGGUAUGUAAAGCUCUAUCAGCAGGGAAGAAAAUGACGGUACCUGAGUAAGAAGCCCCGGCUAACUACGUG
rnacentral:rRNA from 1 species